rnacentral:rRNA from 3 species
CCCCGGUAAACGGCGGCCGUAACUAUAACGGUCCUAAGGUAGCGAAAUUCCUUGUCGGGUAAGUUCCGACCUGCACGAAUGGCGUAAUGAUGGCCAGGCUGUCUCCACCCGAGACUCAGUGAAAUUGAACUCGCUGUGAAGAUGCAGUGUACCCGCGGCAAGACGGAAAGACCCCGUGAACCUUUACUAUAGCUUGACACUGAACAUUGAGCCUUGAUGUGUAGGAUAGGUGGGAGGCUUUGAAGUGUGGACGCCAGUCUGCAUGGAGCCGACCUUGAAAUACCACCCUUUAAUGUUUGAUGUUCUAACGUGGACCCGUAAUCCGGGUUGCGGACAGUGUCUGGUGGGUAGUUUGACUGGGGCGGUCUCCUCCUAAAGAGUAACGGAGGAGCACGAAGGUUGGCUAAUCCUGGUCGGACAUCAGGAGGUUAGUGCAAUGGCAUAAGCCAGCUUGACUGCGAGCGUGACGGCGCGAGCAGGUGCGAAAGCAGGUCAUAGUGAUCCGGUGGUUCUGAAUGGAAGGGCCAUCGCUCAACGGAUAAAAGGUACUCCGGGGAUAACAGGCUGAUACCGCCCAAGAGUUCAUAUCGACGGCGGUGUUUGGCACCUCGAUGUCGGCUCAUCACAUCCUGGGGCUGAAGUAGGUCCCAAGGGUAUGGCUGUUCGCCAUUUAAAGUGGUACGCGAGCUGGGUUUAGAACGUCGUGAGACAGUUCGGUCCCUAUCUGCCGUGGGCGCUGGAGAACUGAGGGGGGCUGCUCCUAGUACGAGAGGACCGGAGUGGACGCAUCACUGGUGUUCGGGUUGUCAUGCCAAUGGCACUGCCCGGUAGCUAAAUGCGGAAGAGAUAAGUGCUGAAAGCAUCUAAGCACGAAACUUGCCCCGAGAUGAGUUCUCCCUGAGACUUAGAGUCUCCUGAAGGAACGUUGAAGACGACGACGUUGAUAGGCCGGGUGUGUAAGCGCAGCGAUGCGUUGAGCUAACCGGUACUAAU